rnacentral:rRNA from 1 species
AGAAUCAACGCUGGCGGCGUGCCUAACACAUGCAAGUCGCACGAGAAAGGGACUUCGGUCCUGAGUACAGUGGCGCACGGGUGAGUAACACGUGAAUCAUCUACCUCCGAGUGGGGAAUAACCUAGAGAAAUCUGGGCUAAUACCGCAUAACACUUACGAGUCAAAGCAGCAAUGCGCUUGGAGAGGAGUUCGCGGCAGAUUAGUUAGUUGGCGGGGUAAUGGCCCACCAAGACGAUGAUCUGUAUCCGGCCUGAGAGGGCGCACGGACACACUGGAACUGAAACACGGUCCAGACUCCUACGGGAGGCAGCAGUGGGGAAUUUUGCGCAAUGGGGAAACCCUGACGCAGCAACGCCGCGUGGAGGAUGAAAUAUCUUGGUAUGUAAACUCCUUUCGAUGGGGAAGAUAAUGACGGUACCCAUAGAAGAAGCCCGGCUAACUUCGCGCCAGCAGCCGC